AGACGAAGGUGGCAACCGUUGUUCGGAAUUACUGGGCAUAAAGCGCACGUAGGCGGGAAAGCAAGUCGGGUGUGAAAUCCCUCGGCCCAACCGAGGAACUGCGCCCGAAACUGCUUUUCUUGAGGACAGAAGGGGAGCAUGGAAUUCCUGGUGGAGCGGUGAAAUGCGUUGAUAUCAGGAGGAACACCGGCGGCGAAGGCGAUGCUCUGGUCUGUUUCUGACGCUAAGGUGCGAAAGCCAGGGGAGCAAACGGGAUUAGAUACCCCAGUAGUCC
rnacentral:rRNA from 1 species